UACGUAGGGGGCAAGCGUUGUCCGGAUUUAUUGGGCGUAAAGAGCGUGUAGGCGGUCAGGUAGGUCCGUUGUGAAAACUCGAGGCUCAACCUCGAGACGCCGAUGGAAACCAUCUGACUAGAGUCCGGAAGAGGAGAGUGGAAUUCCUGGUGUAGCGGUGAAAUGCGCAGAUAUCAGGAGGAACACCAGUGGCGAAGGCGGCGACCUGGGCCAAUAUUGACGCUGAGGUGCGAAAGCGUGGGGAGCAAACAGG
rnacentral:rRNA from 1 species